ACUCUGAUAUCUACGGAUGCGCGGGUUCGAAUCCCGUAGCUCUCAGAGAGUUUGGCCGAGUGGUUAAGGCGUCAGAUUUAGGU
rnacentral:tRNA from 1 species